ensembl:ncRNA F57B7.6 ncRNA
CUCCGGAAAUGGGUGCUCACCUGACAUGUGGUCACGGAUCAACACAUGACUAACUUUGGAAAUAUCUAUCCAAACCUUAUCCGCUCUGUAAUUAGAGUUGGAGCGCGCUAGGCCGCCUCACACACUUCCGAGCGCUGACCGAAAUUUGGUUAUAUUCUGAUGU